rnacentral:tRNA from 1 species
ACUUAAAUAGCUUAAUUAAGAGCAAGAUAUUGAAGAUAUCUCGGUGAUAUAAAAUCUUUAAGUA